CUUCCAGCCGGGCUUUGCCCAGUGGGCUGCCUUCGCCAGGAUAGCUCAGUGGGCUGAGCACAGCACCCAAGCUCCCAAGUAACUUCCAGCCACAGGCAACCUUAGGCAAGCUCAAGUGAUAUCAGCUCUUAGUGAUUAUCAGCUCUUUGUGAUUUCAGCUCUUUAGCUUGCUGGUGCCUCAGCAGAUGCCGGGACAGAGAGGAGAAGCGCUGUGUGAGGUUCCAAAGAAUUCUUUAUUGGUGACUGCCACGAAGGUUCUCAGUGACAGCUCUUCUGCUGAACCAGGCAGGAGUAGGGCUUUAUAUACCUUACAGGGGUUUUGGAAAUUGUCCAAUAGUAAGGGCCAGGGGAAAGUGACCUUUAGGCUCACAGAGAGAUAAGCAGGGUCCAAAAGGCAGAAGAGAGGGGCUGGUAAGGCCCAGCCAUCAUGACUUGGCAUUUCCUAGCUCUGGCUUCUGACCUCCAGGGAGGCCUUGCAGCCCCUGGGCCUGCUACAGAAGAGUACAAAGCUGCUUUCCUACAGAUCAUGUCACAGUUAGAUUGUAUCACAUGUUCAUCUUGCCAGCCUCUCUGAGCUGUGGCUGUUUUGAGGCAGCAAUAGUGAUAUCUGGUCUUAAAGGGCUGAUGAAGCCAACCACCCAGCUGCACUUGCAUUGCAGAGUAGAUGAUAUAUUGCAGGACCACUUGGUGUCUUUGACAGGUUUUAAGUGGGGCUAAUGUAUAAAGAGCAAAUGUUCUUAUCACACCUAGACCAAAUAUGUGAGAGGUCUGUGCUAGUUCUUGUAAAUAUGUGACUGCUCUGAAAUCUCAUCUGAGGAACAGAACCAGCCCAAGCACCCUGUGAACCACAGCAUCGUGCACCUACCCUGCCUUUGAUCCAGUGUUACCCUUUUUCUACAGCACAGCUCCAAGCACAGUGAUAGCUCAGUUAAGCAAUAGUAAUAUAAAUGUUCAUUGCAUCCAUGUCAAUUCCAGGAGUAGGCAUUCGAAUACAAGAGGAUACUAAUAUUUUUCACAUAUAAUUCAAAUGCUUGAGACUUUAAAAUGUCUAUAUGACCUGUGCUCACACUUGAACAAAGGCAGAGUAGGAGUUUCUAUAAUUUCCAAGUUUUAUUCCUGCAACUGAAAAAAGCUACAGGAAUGCUGAAGUUAAAUAACUGAAUCAAGAAUACUAACUUGCUGCCAAAUAAUCAGGGCUGCUCACAAGGUUAAAACACCUCAUUUGAUGUGGCCUCUGUUUCCUCACCUAACUGCAGCAGAGCUGGGAAGACUGAAAUAAUCUUCAUUUUACAGAUGAGAGAGGAAGUGGCCUACCCAUACCACCACUCAGCUGGGAGAAGCAAACUGGUGUGCAAUAUCUGUCCAACAGGCCAUACACCAAGGACAACUUCAUUAUGAGAUGUAUUUGAAAUAUUUUAAGAAGCUGUGUGGUUGCAGGAGGAAAAGCCACUUUCCUACUGAAAGAGGAGGCUGGGAGGUUUCAUUGAAAUAGAGAACUUUAAAGUGCGGCUGACUGUGACUGAUGGAUGAGAUGGAUUGUAGCAGAACUGUGUUUUUCUAUGGCUAAUCCUUUUGCUGCUCUUUGUUAAUACCUAGAGUUUUGUAAACCUGAGUGUUCUGCUUGCACAUUGCUUGUUCCAUGCCCCUUUAUUAAAAAUGACACCCUUCUCUUACUCGUUUUUGUCUAUUCAAAAUGAAGAGUUACUUUUUUGUCUUCAGCUUGUCACUGUGAUUCCUCUUUUCUUUUUCAAUUGUACCAAUUUUAAACUAAGAAAGUGCAGCAAAAAUAACUUAUCUGCCUGUAAACUCUUCCAUACCACAAAAGUCAUGUCCAAACUAUAACUUUAAAAUGGAAAAAUGACCUUGAUAUGCCUUUCUGUUUCCCCGUUUCCCUUUCCUAUUUUACAAUACCUUUUUAUUUAAUUUCUACAUUACAUUCUUCCUCUGCCAAUUUGUGGACUUAAAGUUAGAUUCACAAAAUGACUUAGGCAUCGUCUGGAAGGCACUGUGACCUCACUGUCAUGCUUGGUACAGCUCAGGUUGUGCCUUCAUGCCAUGAAUGACCUGGCUCCUAUAGACCUGGCUGUGGGCAGGGGUCAAACGGGCUAAAGGUCUGACCUGUUACAUAUAGCUCUGAGGAAAAGCUUAUGGGAGUGCUACACUCCCUGCUGCACCUUUGGAGAAAGUGGUGCUUAGCUCUUCCAAAUGGGUUUGCUGGGAGCUGUGUGUCCAAACUGAUAGCGUGGGACAGGUUUUGUCCCAUUUUUGUCUAAUGCUCCAGUGAGUACAAUACUUCCCUAGGAUACAGGCUGUCCAGGUUUCUCUUUGUUUCUUCCUUAAGAAGACUGGAGUCAAUAUUUUUCCCCUCUCACAAUACUGUCAUCAGCACCAGGAACUUGCAGGAGACUUCCUCUGAUGAGGCUUAUAGCCUUAUUGCUCCCCUCCUGAGACAAUUCCUUCAUCACCUAGGUAUUAGGGACCAGUUUAGAUACCUCUGUAAAGCAUGUCUCCAGGAUGAAGCAUCUCCUAGGUUAAGCAGAAGCUGAGUGAGAUUUAAAAUUAGCUUUGGAGAGUUAGAUGGUUUUACAGAUUUAUCCUUUUCUUUCUUUAAAAUUGUUCACUUUAUCCUCAAUUCUAGCUUCAUCACUAUUGUGUGGGUUCACCAAUUACUAGUCCAUGGUGCAGAAUUCUUCUUUUUUCGAGCCAUUAUUUCAUUCACAAUCACACUGGCUUUUAAAGACACCAUGGCUUUGUCAUUAUGCAGUGUUAAAGUCAAUGUUGAUUAAUUCAACCUAGCAUACACUUUCCAGGAUUUCACAAAGAAAAUGACAGUGGGUCUUUAAACAGGGUAGGCAGUUUGAACUAUAAACUCUAAGCUGUGAAGCUUAACUAGCUCACCACCUUUUAUGUUGCUGCCUUCUAUACACCCAGAAAAAGGGAGACUAUCAACCAUCACAGUCUAGCAAUGCACCUGGUGCAGGCCGAACUGAAGAUUUCUUUUAAAUUUUCUCCCUUUAAAGACAAGGUUAAAUUGUCUUUUCCACACACACCCACAUACACACCCCCUUAUCCAAAAAUGACACUAGUUUUCUCUUUGGAACAUAUCAGAUGCACGGCUUUAGGUGGAAUGAAAACAUUUUGGAACACUGUGUUAAAUUUGCCUUUCCAGUACUGUGUAUUGGAAAUAGUGUCCUCUCUGCCAGAACACUAUGGCACUAUGGUAUAAAUAAAAGAUUGUAAAUUAUUGCUGCCUAAUGUUAUUAGCAAUAGAUUUUGCCAUGGGGAAGAAGUUGUCGAGUCAAAUCUCCUGUCCUAAUUGUUAAUUAUUGUUGUUCUUGUCUAAAAUAAAUUCUGUUAUGAGACCAGGCAGCUUUAUUCAGUUAAAAUGUUCCAGGACAAUUCAACACCAAUCACAUUUAAAAAUAAACAUUCAAUAAGACAAUGAAGAACUAUACAGUAGCAUAUUUAGUGCAUGUUUUUCCUCUUGAUCUCCAAACAGUGUUUUCUUGCAUUCCCUGUCUUUUAAAUACAAAUAUUGUGUUGAUGGAAGCUGUUCAUUUGAGUGUCCUAGGGAAUGAACUCUGCUUCUGUAGAUGAGUUAGUAAUGCAUGCUUUCUGCACAUGAACAAAUCAUUGUUUAUAAAGCCCUGCAAAAGCAAUCUGGUAUUCAUUUGGUAAGAAAGCUUAGUUGCAAACUGGUUGUAAUCCUGACUUUAA